rnacentral:rRNA from 1 species
UAACGCGUGAGGAACCUGCCUCAAAGAGGGGGACAACAGUUGGAAACGACUGCUAAUACCGCAUAAGCCCACGACCCGGCAUCGGGUAGAGGGAAAAGGAGCAAUCCGCUUUGAGAUGGCCUCGCGUCCGAUUAGCUAGUUGGUGAGGUAAUGGCCCACCAAGGCGACGAUCGGUAGCCGGACUGAGAGGUUGAACGGCCACACUGGGACUGAGACACGGCCCAGACUCCUACGGGAGGCAGCAGUGGGGAAUAUUGCACAAUGGGGGAAACCCUGAUGCAGCGACGCCGCGUGGAGGAAGAAGGUCUUCGGAUUGUAAACUCCUGUUGUUGAGGAAGAUAAUGACGGUACUCAACAAGGAAGUGACGGCUAACUACGUGCCAGCAGCCGCGGUAAAACGUAGGUCACAAGCGUUGUCCGGAAUUACUGGGUGUAAAGGGAGCGCAGGCGGGAAGACAAGUUGGAAGUGAAAUCCAUGGGCUCAACCCAUGAACUGCUUUCAAAACUGUUUUUCUUGAGUAGUGCAGAGGUAGGCGGAAUUCCCGGUGUAGCGGUGGAAUGCGUAGAUAUCGGGAGGAACACCAGUGGCGAAGGCGGCCUACUGGGCACCAACUGACGCUGAGGCUCGAAAGUGUGGGUAGCAAACAGGAUUAGAUACCCUGGUAGUCCACACUGUAAACGAUGAUUACUAGGUGU